rnacentral:lncRNA from 1 species
AUAAGAUCUUCUAGGGAUCCCUUCCCGUGUUUCUUGCUGAAGGAAGACGGCACCCACUGGGGUGUGCCCCCAGCAAAGGUCUGGCUGGAGCUGCUGUGGUACCUAAGACCCCCACCUUGCAGGAGGCUUAGCUGAGCAUUUAAUUUGGAAAGAACUCACCAUUCCCUAGUCACUCAGGUAUGAUGUUUGGGCAUCUUCCCAGCCCAAAAACCCAGAG